GGAGGGUGUGACUAGUGACAGAGUGAGGGAGGGAAGGGGUGACUAGUGAGAGUGAGGGAGGUGGUGAUUAGUGACAGAGGGAGGAAUGGGGUGACUAUCACUGUGUCACCCCCUUCCUCACUCUGUCACUAGUCACCCUCUCCCUCCCUCACUCGGUCACUAUUCACCCCCUCUCUCACUCUGUCACCAGUCAUUCCCUCACUCUGUCACCAGUCAUCCCUUCCUUCCCUCACUCUGCCACUAUUCAUCCCUUCCCUCAC